rnacentral:lncRNA from 1 species
UGGCCAAAAUCACCACCUCUGCCUCUAUAGGUGCUGUCUCAUCUUCCACCAUAACGCCAUUGUCACAGAAACUAAAACUUGGGGCCUUUUUCAAUUUAAUUUCUCCAUCUUCAACUUUGUCAUAGAAUUUUUCUGGGACUGUUGAGGUCAAGCAAGAACUGAGUUCAUGGAGGAAGCUUUGUGUUGGGAUCAUGCCAUGCUUUGCCAAAUGAAACUUCCUUUUUAUAUCACUUUCAACAAAUUUCGAAUAUGCCCAUCUCUGUCAAAUAAUCACACCAGAGAAAAAAAAAAGUAUAAGAGCAAAGAAAAUAAAUGGCAUGCCAUUUGAUUCGGAGUUAUUGUUAUUGUUACCAGUGGUGUAAGAAUAGUGGCCAAGAGACCGAGGAGAAACCCUUCACCAGGCUUAUGAACCAUAAGCUCUGAGAACCGAUUAAAAUACAUAUAUGCCAGUGAAAACCCCCUUUUAAAAUAAUCAGGGAGAUGCCAGUGUGCUGUCCUGUAUAAAACUGUACAUGGGUUUUCUACCCCUGCAAACCAAAUUGAAAGAAGAAACAAAUAUGGAUGAAUUCUAAGAGUUAGUUUAAAUAGAUUGUAUUUACCAUUUGCUGCACAGCACUCCAUUGCAAUGUCCAAAGCAGAUUUCUGGAACCCAACAACAAUGACUCUUUUGCCUUUGAUGAAUUCAGCAGCCUUUUCAUCAUCCAUGGCUGCAUACUCCAUGGAAUGUAUGACCUUACCAUGAAAUGCUUCCGGACCCUUGUUUGGGGGGAAUUCUGGUAUGUUUGGCAGACCACUGAACCGUCCCACACAAAAUAUUACAAAGUCCACUUGGUAUAUCUGCAAAAAAAAAAGUUGAUGGAUGAUGGAUGCCGGAUGGACAUGGAUGAUGGAGUGACAUGCAUGUAAAUACCUACCUCAGUUGAAAGCGUAUUCAAGUCUUCCACAAUGAGCUUCCACUUGCCUCUGGAGCUGAAAGGCUCGCCAGUGCCACCCCAUAAACUCCAAGACUGGAUCUCUUCAUCCUGGAAACCUUCAUACUCAAUUCCAGCAACUUUGGUGUUGAAUUUGAUGUGGUUAAGCAAGUGGAAGUGCUUUGCAUAGGCCUCAAUAUAAUCCAACACCACGUGUUUGUCGGGAAAAUAUUCAGUGACAGAUAAUGGCCAAGCAAAAUCAGAGAACUGAUAAAAUGGCUUGGGAGUUUGGAGCUUUGUAGUCUCAAGCGCUUUGGUCCAAACCCCUCCAAUGGAGCUUUGGGAUUCAAAAACAAUUGGAUGGAAACCUUUAGAUAAGAUGUAUUUACAGGCAAGGAGGCCACUUACACUUGCUCCAACUAUACCUAUCUUCCUCUCCAUUGCCGUCUUGUCUCACUGAUACCUUCAUAAUGCUCUACUCUUCUUUGCCUCUCUAUUUAUACAUCUCUUUGUAUAAGACCAAUAGCAGUAAUAGAUAUAUUAUGAUAUAUAUUAUGUGCAGUUAUUUUGAAGGAAUUAAAUAAUAAAUUGACAGUUGCUUUAUUUGUAAAACCCUAAACUCAAUUUUUAGGUUUAAGCUAAAUUUGGACGAGUUACACCAACGUAGUAAAAAUGUAUUUCUUUCUAGAGUUUUUAACUUUGAAAACCAGAAAUUCAUUUUAGACGAUUUAGAUAAACUUCACAGAGACUGACGAGAUUAUAAAAAGAAAAAUAAAACAAGUUCAAAAUGGAUUACAAAUGAUCCAAAGGAUUAAAUUGUAGUUAUCUCAGUGCAAAACAAUCCGAACUCCCACACGUCGUCCAAUACUAAGUCAGAUGUCUUCCUGACAGAUAAAAGUAAGACAAAGUGUGAGUCACCACGUAUAACCAAACUCAAAUAACAAUAAACAGAACGUAAUAUAUAAAUCGUAGUAAUGCAAGCAUUUGAUAACAAUUGUAUAACCAGUAUAGAAAGAUCUGGAGUAUCAUAGGGAUUUCAACCAAGGUAAUACAACAGAACAAAGAAAAAUAGAACAGAACAACGCAAUUCAAACAAAAUAGAACCGAAUAGAACAUAACAGAACAGAGCAGAGCAGAGCAAUGCUAAAUGGAAAAGAAAAGAAUAGUGCAGAAUAGAGCAUGUAUGUUUAUGCAGAUGUAAUAUUUUUCAACAAACCAGAAUGUAGAUUUAUCAAAAACAUCCUACCCAACUCCGCUAUACACUAAAAUACAGUUUCCCAGAACUCGUUCAGCCAGAUCACACCAAUAGAUAACUGUGGACAGAGCCAUCAGUAUUUUACAGUUAAAAUUGCUAGAUCGAAUACAUGUGGUCAAGCCACUACAGUACAGUCGAACUGUUGAAACAGAAGUGUUGAUAAACCACCAGAUAAUGCAGAUCAUUAAACUGCCAGAAACUUCCUCAUUUUACAUCAACCUAACUCCCAUGCAAUGUGUCAUGGCAUGCUAUUACAAAAUUAGACUUGUAACACCUUCUACCCGUAUCCGUUGCCGGAAUAGGGUACGAGGCAUUAUCAGAGUUUACUGAGCAUUUUCAAAUAAUUCUGAAUAAUUUAUUAUUCAUAUUCUAAAAAUAAUCAUAAUAUCCCUCUAUUGGGCCCUUAAAGCCCAAAACAUACAUUUAAACAUUCAAUUCACAUUCAUGUCACAUAAAUGUAAAAUUUAAACAUUCAAUAACUCAAUUCAAGUUGCACAAACUUACUUCAUUGCUUAUUCGUAUUUAUAGUUUUACUAAUCCGAAAACUUUUUCUUUUUCACAUUCAAGUCUCAUAUUUGAGCCACCCAGAUCUUUAUAAAUAAAUUUGAUCAUCAUUUUUAUUUAUUUCAUAUUCUAAUACAUUCAAUUAAUCUCUAGGCAAAAUUACCAUUUUACCCUAAACUUUUGAUUAAUGACGAUUUCAUCUUUAGACAAAGAAAAAUAAAGUUCUUGUAAUUAAAUCCUUGUUUCGAACCUAAUUAUUCUUAUCUAUAUUGAUAAAACCCCAUAAAUUCUAUAAAAUAACAAAAUUUUCCACAAUUUCAACACUUUUUAAUUUAAUCCCUAAAACAUGUUUUCACCCGAUCUUGAUCUAAAUUAAUAGUUUCAUUCAAUUUUAUAAUUUAAAUAAUAAAACAAUUCAUUUCCUUCAUUUUGGUCAUUUUUGACAUUUUUAUAAAAUUGCCCCUAUAGUUUUUCUUUUAUUCAAUUUAAUCCCUGAGUCUAAAACAUACAAAUUAUCCAUUUUAAAUGUAAACCUAUUAAGGGUGGGAACAAACAACAGUAUGUAUGUUACCCGGAUGAAAUAUGAAAUACUUCUCUAAAUUUUUCAUCCCAUUUGCUUCUGUUCGUUUGUUUACAACUCCUAAGUUUUUGAAUCUCAAACUUACUUCAUACUUCAUCCGGAAUUAUUAUCUUGUUGCUCUAACUUCAAUAAGAGCUUAAUAUUUCAUCCGGAAUAAUUACUUUGUUGCUCUAGCUUUAACAAGAGCUUCAUAUUUUAUCCGGAUAACUUAGUUAUGUUUUUCUUCCUGUGUGAAAAACCCAACAAAACCCUUGCUAGCUGAAAAUUCAUAUAUUUAUUUUUCUUCUCCUCCUCUCCAUUCCACAUCCUAAAUGUAUAUAGCAUUCUUAUAAGUAACAUUAUCUAUGAUCUCACUAUUUACUUACAAAUUUUUUUAAAGCUGUCUAUUCGUGUCAUAGUCACUAAAUUAUUUUUAAUUUGAGCUACAGAGAUCCAAAUUAAGAUCCGUAAAUUUUUCAUGAAACUUGACUCACAUAUCUUUCCACCAAAAAAUUUUCAUAAUUUUUGGUUUAGCCAAUUAGUACAGUUUAUUCAUUAAAGUUUCCCCUGUUUGACUAUCCGACAGUUUUAACCUCUCUUCACUUAAAAUUAAUUAUCUUACAGUACAGAACUCGGAUAAUGUUCUCAUUGGUUAUCUUGAAAAUAGACUCAUUAAGGAUUCUAAAAAAUAUAACUUUGAGCCUCUAAUUAUUUUUCUCCAAAUUUUUGUGAUUUUACAAAGUCAGAACAGAGGAACCCGAAUUCAUUCUGAUAUUGUCUCACAAAAUUUAUUAUAUCUCAUAAAUUACAAUUCAAUUGCUUACACCGUUUCUUCUAUAAGAAACUAGACUCAAUAAGCUUUAAUUCAAUAUUUUUUCAUCUUCUGAUUCAAUUUAUAAAAUUUAUGGUGAUUUUUCAAAAUUAACCUACUCCUGCUGUCCAAAACUGUUUUAGUUCAAGAUGUUUAUUACCAUUUUUCCUCUAAAUUUCACUGGUCAUACAAUUCAGUCCUUGCUCAAUUAGCCCAUCACUUAAGCUAAUUUUUCUCAAUUAACAUUUUAUUCCAUCAUUCUAAACUAUUACACAACCUUUAAAAAUCAUAAUUUCAACACUAAACCUUAAUUCACAACUUUUUCACAAUUAGGUUCUAAAAUCAAUUUCUAUUGAAAUUACUUGAUAAAAUCAUCAAACAACAAAGUAAAAUCUUCAAAUCUAUUUUAGUUCAUCAUAAAAAGCCAACAUUUAUCAAUGGUAGCUUUCAAUUUUGUCCAUAAAAUCAAAAACUAAUGAAUUAAACACUUGGACCUAAUUGUAAAAGUCACAAAAACAUAAAAAUCUCAAAGAAAAGGGCAAGAAUUGAACUCACAUAUGUCAAACUAUGAAAAACAGCAACUUUCAGACCUCUCAUGGCGUUUUUUCUGAAGAAGAAUGAUGAUAUCUCUAGAUUUUUCAAUUUUGUCUUGUUUUAUAUGCUUAAUUUGCAAAAUUUCCAAUUUUGCCCCUUGUUCACACUUGAUUUUUAUUUUUCCUACACACACAUGCCGUCCAGCCCAAUAAUGGGUGUUUAAUUGCCUAUUUAGUUCUCCUUUAAUUAUUACUAGAGCUAUUUAAUCACAUUUCAUAAUUUUGCACUUAAUUCAAUUUAGUCCUUUUUACCUAAUUGACUACCAAAACCUUAAAAUUUCUUGACGAAACUUUAAUACUGACUUACUAACACUCCAUAAAUAUUUCUAAAAAUAUUUAUGGCUCGGUUUAUGAAUUUGAGGUCUCAUAUCUCGUUUUCAACCCAAUUUACCUGAUUAAUUCUUUUAAAAUCGCAAAAUUCACUAAUUCAAAAAUUCUUUUAAAUUCACGCUUGGCCCAUAAUUAUUAUUUAUUAAAAUUUCUAAACUUAAUUAUUAUUUAUUAAAAUUUCUAAACUUACUCAUUGGAUUUUGUAAUAUCGAAUCACUGUUUUUCGAUACCACUGAAAAAUUUGGCUGUUACAAGACUAAUGAACUUGUAAGUCAUGCUAUAUCUCAAUAACAGAAUCAGUAAAUAUAGGAGUCCAUGUUUUGUAAAACAGACUUAUCAAAUUUUCCAUGAAGUCACAUGCACGGUUAUAAACCAGAAUCAGUAACAAUCAGUCUAACAUGUUCAAAUAUCGUAUAUUCCUCAUCAACAGAGUGAUGCAGAGGCGUACUAAAAAACUUAACAUAAUACAGAUCGUACAUUGAUAAUUCGCACACAUAGACAAUAGCAUAUUACGUUUUGACAGAUCUUACUCACUUAGGUUCAACCAUAAUAGAUAUACGUACAGAUCACAAGUUGUUCAUUAUCAGAUUAUCAAAUAGCAAGUUAUGUAGUCUAAUUCAGAUUGUAUGGGCCUACAAUGGGCCUGCGCUUGUUUCGGAUGAUACUUGUGGCCUCAGGAAAAAAAUUCCAAAUACAGCUUUAAACGCCCGUAUGGUUUCACACGGCUUAGAGAAUUGGCCCGUGUGGCUCCACACGGUCUGGCACACUCCCUUGUGGUCCUAAUUCGCAAAUAGUGAGUUAAAUGACCAGGACACUUGCCUAUGUCCAUGCUCAUGUGGUCCUAAAUCAUAAAUAGUGAGUUACAUUGUAACACCCCUAACCCACAUCCGUCGCCGAAAUAGGGUUGGAACGUGAUCGAAGCUUAUUGAUCAAAUAGACAUAAAUUCAAACAUUGAUAUCAUAUAAUAUUCAGAUAAAAAACCAAUUAAAUUCACACACAAUGUCCCUUAUUUGAGCCCUCGAGGCCCAAAAUACUUGUUAAAAACAAGUUGGGACUAAUUUGGGAACUCAGAGAAUACCGCACAGUCGUGUGACUUGCACGGUUAGGAGACACGUCCUUGUCUCAAGUAGUGUGGGCAUUCGAAAUAGGGACACACGGUGCCUAUGUCUAUACCCGUGUAACUCUCUGACUUGGGUCACACGGCCAAGCCACACGCUCGUGUGCUAGCAGUGUGUCUCACACGGUCCAGUCUCACGCCUGUUUUUAUCAAAUUUUGAUGAUUAUUAUGUUUUUAUUAACAAUUAUUGUGAUGUAAAGUAGAACAUUUUUUUAUUAUUUAUUUCAACCCAAACCCUGCUUUCAUAUUCAAAUAGGAUUUUCUUUCUUGAUCAAUCAUAUUCACUGUUGGACUAAUUUACCUAUAAAGGCCCAUUUCCAAGUAUAUUUACGAAAAUGGGCCAAUUUCUACAUUAUUUACCGAAAAUGGACGAUUUUGGCAAAACGCGUCCACAUUGGAGCGUUUUGGGGUGAAAUUUUCAAAAAAGGACAUUUUUUAAAAAAAUUAUAAAAAUAAACUAAUUUUUUUUAAAUUUACUAGAAUAAGCCUUUAUAAAGACCCAAAGUGGCAACACCAUUUUUUUUAUUUUAGGGUGUCAUCAAUUAAUAUAAAAAUAAAACUUACAAAGAAGAUCUUUAUAUAUACCCAAAGUCUUAUUUCCCUUGUUUUCAUAAGCAAUGUGGGAUAUGAGAUAUGUGUAUAUAUAGACUCAUGAUUAGGUUUGCAGCUUGUUUCUAAACAAUGUGUGAUUCCUUCCUCUUUUAACUAACAACAUAAGAUUAAAGGCUACACUAUAUUUUAUAAUUUUUUUACAAAACAAUGUCUAUUUUUUUUAUAUUUUGUUAAUACUUUCUCAUAUUAUAAAAUUAUCUUUUGAGAUCUUUAAUCUUGUUGUAUUUUAAAAUUGUUAGCAUAUACAAAAAGACUAUUAAAAAAAGAAUAAAUUGCACAUAUGAAACUUAUACAUGCAAUAAUCUUCUAUUCAAUUUUAAAUGUUUGAAGUUAAUAUCCAUGCAAUUCUAAUUUUUAAAAUAAUUUUCUAUUAUUUAAAUUUAGAAGUUAUACUUUUAAUUUUUUUAUUAUUUAUUUUAUUUUAUAUUAUGAAUGUUUGAUUAAUAAAUAAAUGGUGAGUAUUUGGUACUCAAAUAGUAUUUUUUUGUAAUUUUAAAAAAUUAAUAUAUCUUUUUUAAAUAUUUAUUUGUUUUUAAUAUUUUACUAUACUCAUUAAUUUUUUAAUCCUAAUUUUAAUUUAAUUUUCAUCACCUAACGAAUGCUGAUAAAUUUAUUUCAGAUGUAUUUUGACUAGAUAGAUAAUCUAUUAAAACAUAGUAUAUAAUUAUGUUAAAUAAGUUUUUUUAUAGAAAUAUAUAAUAUACAUAAAAUAUAAUAAUUAUUUUUUAUAGUAAUAUAUCUAGAUUAAAUUACAUUAGCUGUCACUUAACUAUGAUUUUUUGGCUAUCGAAUUAUAAAAACUUACAAAAUAAUCACUCAACUAAUAGUAAUUUUUUAUAUAUUUAUUUUUUAAUAUUUUACCAUACUCAUUUUAUAUUUUAUAAUUUUUUUAAUAGAGUUUACAAGUUUUAUUUAUAAUGUAACAAAUGUUAACUUUUUGUAAAAAAAAAUUUAAACUUUAUAAGUAAAAAAAUAUAAAAUAUAGUGUAGCCUAUAAAUUUAUGUUGUUAGUUAAAAGAUGAAAUAAUCCCACAUUGUUUAGGAACAAGCUACAAACCUAUUCAUGAGUCUAUAUAUACACAUGUCUCGUAUCUCUCAUUACUUAAGAAAACAAGGGAAAUGAGACUUUAGGUUUAUAUAAAAAUCUGCUUCGUUAGUUUUACUUUCAUAUUAAUUGGUGACACCUUAUAAUAAAAAGAAAAUAGUGUUACCACUUUGGGUCUUUAUAAAGGCUUAUUCUUGUAAAUUUUUAAAAAAAUUAGUCUAUUUUUAUAAUUAUUUUUAAAAAAUUAUAUUUUUUGAAAGUUUAACCUGAGAAUGGGCAAAAGUGUGUCUAUGUCAGUGUGUUUUUGUUGACACAGGGUAAAGUGUGUCCAUGUCAGCAUGUUUUGUGUUGACAUCGCAAAAUCGCUCCCUUAGGGGCGUAUUUUGCUGAAAUUUCACCCUAAAACGCUCCUACAUGGACGCGUUUUGCCAAAAUCGAUCCUUUUCGGUAAAUAAUAUAGAAAUUGGUCAUUUCCAUAAAUAUAAUUAAAAAUAGGCCUUUAUAGAUAAAUUAGUUCAAUUGUUGUUUGUAUAUUCUUCACCAUCCUUCUACUACCUUGCUCUUUUCAACUUUUGCUUUGGGGAACUACAAUAGAGUAGAGUAGUAAUAGAAAAAGGGGAUUGAAAUGUAUUAAGUAUUUACAUAGUUGAUUCAAUGGAUUAUGUUUUCUAUAUUAUAUUUAUUAUUUAAGUGACAUUAAUUAAGUUAUGAAAUUUAAAAAUUAUGAAUUCGAAGAUCAAACAUGUAGUCAGUAAUAUUGAAAUAUAAAUUUAUUACCAUUUUAUUUUAAAAUAUUUUUGUUCACUCACAUCGUGUGGAUGUGAUAAAACUUAGUAUAUAAAAUAAUUGAGUUGAAUAAUAAUAUUACAUGGGUAAGAAAUAGAUUGAAAAUAUCAUAUAAAUAUUUUUUAUAUUAUUAAUAUCUUAUAAAUUUUAAAUAAAUAUAUUUAUUUUUUAGAGAUAAAUUAUAUUUAUUAGUAAAAUGAAAACAACUAUGGCAAGUGUCAGAAACCAUUUUUAAAUUUGAAAAACGGGAGUCGACUUAAAAACAAAAAAAUGGAGUCGCCACCGAUCUUUUUCGAGGUAUGAUCGGAUCACCUUGAGUUUGAUCAUUUUAAUAAAACAUUUUGAUUUAUUAAAACGAUGAUUUUGAUCUACGAAAUUCGAGAAUAAAGGUUCGGGAGUUGGUUACUUAUGAGGAAGGGUUAGCACCCUCAUAACGCCCAAAAUUGGUACCGAAUUGAUUAAUUAAUGUCUUAACGUCGAAUGUUUGAAAAGAUUUUAGAAUACGAUCCUUUUUUUUUAAAAAAAAAGAACGCUUGAAUAAAUUACAUGGAAUGCUAAGACCCUCUUAUCUCGAAGAAAUAAAAUGUCACACCCAGUAAGUUAGGAUACAACACUUUAAACCCUCGAAAAUAAGUUUGUCUUUUAAUUUUCAAAAGUCAUGCCUUUAAGUUUAAAAAAUAUAUUCGGUUAUUUGGGUCAAAUGAAAAAUCAGAACCUAGUAAGUUAUGACACAAUCUCUCAAAAUUUCAAAUACAGAAUAUUACAUUUAUUUUUUAGAAAUUCUUAUCUCGAGGUACAAAGAGCCAUAUCCAGUGAGUUAGGAUACAACACUUCGAAUUUUUGUGAAUAAACUUUUAUUUGAAACUUAAUUGUUUUGAUUUAAGGAAGGCUACUCGAUUACUUAGAUUCGACGAGAAAAAUCGAAACCCAGUAAGUUAGGGCACAAUUUUCUCAAAGCUCCCAAGUACCGAAUAUUGCCUUAUUUAAAUUUUUUGAAUAAAAUGUAAUAAAUAAAUGAAAUGUAUUUUUAUUUAAAAGGAUAAUUCGAUAACAUAAGGAAUAAACACGUGGCAAUAAUAUUUCAUGAAUAAUCUAAAAUAAUAAGGAAAUGCAAAGGAACAACUUAGAAUACAUACAAUGGCAGCAUAUCAUAUUCUAUAUAAAUACCACCAUUUAUAACCAAGGGCUAAUGAAUAAGAAACCAAUUUUAAAAGAAGUUUCAAAUAAGUUACACAAAUAAAAUGUAACAAGUUUUAAAAUAAAUAAAAUGAAUAAUAGGAAAAAAGAAAAUUUAGAAAUAUCACUAUAGAAACUAUACAAAAAUUUUAAAACAGGUAAUAGAUAUAAGAAUUUAAAAAUAAAUAGAAAAAAUAAAAGAAAUAAUAUACUAAAUGGUAAUGUACAAUGAAUUUUAAAAUAAAUAUUAUAAGGUAAAUAAUUUAAAUGAAAGUUUGAACUUUAUCAAAAAUAAAAAAACUAAAAAAAAGAUAAUAUGUGUAAUACGUAAAUGAAAUUCCAAAAUAAAUAAUAUGAAUAAAAGGUUAAAAGUAAAUGACAAACAAAAUAAUAUAUAUACAUGAAAAAAAAACCUAAUAUAAAUAAUAUAUAUAAUAGUAAUAACAAUAUAUGAAAGUGUUUCAGAUAGACAAAUAUGUACAUGAAAAUAAAAUAAAUAAAUAAAGUGUGAAAUCAAAAUAAUUCAAAAUAAUAUGUUAAAAUAACAUGUUUAUUCUAAAAAAAUGAAUAACUAAAACUUAAUUGAGAGAAAAACAAAAUCCAAGGGAUAAUUUAUAAACAAAACAAAAUCAUUAAAACAUAAUUUUGGGCCGAAAUUAAAUGCGCACAAAUGUUCGAGGACUAAAACUGAAAAUGCCCCAAAUCUCAAAGUACUGCACUAAGGAGAGGGCCAAAUUGAAAUAACGCACAGAUUACAAGGACAAUUUAAAAGAAUUUAAAAAAAUUUAAAUAGGGCUCGAUUGAACGCUAGGGUGAAGGAAGGGGACUGAUUGCGCAAAUUACCCAUUUAAGGGGAAAAUGCGCUUGGAUUUAGUCAAACCGCGUACUGACUCUACCCCCUGGCAUGCUGUUUGUUUUAUUACUUAAAAUUAAAACCUGUUUCAAAUCAUUUUUUUGCUUUAAAAAAAAACAUUUUAACUUUGAUUUUUUUUAAAAAAAAAACCCUAAAGUUUUGAGAUCCCCUCACUCUCCCCUCUGCUAUUCGCCGAAAGGCCUAUGCCCAAGCCUUCAACCGCCCAAAAAGUCGCUUGCGACCAAGAAAGCAGGGCCCUCCGACAGUGUGAGAACGAUGCGCGGUGAGUCCCUCUCUUUCUCUCCUAUCUUUAGUUCGUGUUGUGGAUUCGAAUGGGGAAGGAAAAAAUGAAAAAAAAAAGAAGAAACAAAAUAAAGCUGUAGUAAAUAAUCACCUUUGAAAAUAUUAUUUGGUUGCUUUCUACUGAUUUUUGUGUGUAUUUUGUAUACAAUCCGUAACCAAUUUCUCUGGAAAAAUAAGAGUAAAAAAAAAAAGGUCCCCUAUAAUGAAUUUUCAUGAGGCUUUUAUAGUCUUUUUACAACUAUUUUUCUACAUGUUUGCAGGUACGUGGGCGAGCGGGUAGUGCGGCUUUGAAGGCCUGAGUGGCGUGGGACGCGGAGGUCGUUGGUGGAGCGGCGGCUGUUGCAAGUACUGGGGACUAGGGAUUUUUGUUGAAAAGUUUAGGUUUUGGGCCUCUUUGGGCUUUAGGGUUAUUUAGGGCUUGGGUUUAAGUUUUAUUUUGGGCUUUAGAUUUGGGUUAAAAAUAACUGGGCUUGUAAUUUGGUCUGUAAAAAAAACUUUUAUUUCUGUUUAUUUGUUUGUGGGUCCUAGGCCCGGGCUAAAAUUGGGCCUUACAACUGCUCUUCUUUGCUUAUUUUCGUGUAACGAGAAUGAAGCAAAGACUUUAAAAGGACCAAUUUUACCCGGUCUUUGCUGAGUCUUGACUUCCUUUGGCAUCUCUUCUUCAAGUAGCCUCGUUAAGGCUCACUGUCUUUGAUCUGCUCUACUACUGCUUAGAGGGAUAAGAUCUGUAAUUUUCAACCUGUUCCCUACUGCUUAGGAGGAUAGGGUGGCCUGUCAUUUUUAGCCUGUUUCCUUACUACUUAAGGGGUUAAGGCUCACCGUCUUCGAUCUGCUCCACUACUGUUUAGAGAGAUAAGAUCUGUAAUUUUUAGCCUGUUACCCUACUGCUUAGGGGGUUAAGGCUCACCGUCUUCGAUCUGCUCCACUACUAUUUAGGGAGAUAAGUUUUAUAAUUUCCUGCUUGUUACCCUACUGCUUAGGGGGUUAAGGCUCGCUGUCUUUGAUCUGCUCCACUACUAUUUAAAGAGAUAAGAUCUAUUAUUUCCAUCCUGUUACCCUACUGCUUAGGGGGUUAAGGCUUGCUAUCUUCGAUCUGCUCCACUACUGUUUAGGGGAGAUCUUUAUUUUCCAACCUAUUACCCUACCGCUUAGGGGGUUAAGGCUCCACUACUGUAUUUUCCAAGAGCGGUGGUUGAACUUGCGUAGCGACUUCUUUCCACCUCUGAGCAUACUGUCUGAAACUUUCAUUUGACUUCUUCUCUAUGUUCUGUAACGUGAUCCAGUUAGGCUCUAUGUCCGUCACAUGACCAUACUACUUCAUGAAGGCCUGUGCUAGGUCCCUCCACGAUUUAAUUUGGGUGCGACUCAGUUAAUUGUACCAUUUGGCCGCAGCCCCCACUCAGAUUAUCCUGGAAACAGUGAACUAGCAACUGAUCAUUAUUGACGUGACCAGUCAUCCUCCUGCAAAACAUCGUGAUGUGAGCCUCAGGGCAACUGGUUCGGUUGUAUUUCUCAAAUUCCGGCAUUUUGAACUUCGGAGGGAGCACUAGAUCCGGAACUAAGCUCAACUCUUUAGCAUCCAUACCAUAUUGAUAAUCUGCGCUUUUCAGCGCCUUAAAUUUCUCCUCCAGCCAUUUGUAUCAGACUUCCAGCUGCUUUGGGAGUUCUCCUUUUGCCUUCUCCACCUCUGCUAUCUCAUCAAAGUCGGGGACCAAAGGAUUUACCCGAUUGUCCUCGAGUUUAGAACACGAGCCUGUCGAAAAAUUCAUCGGUCCUGAAAUACCAGCCUGAUACUGGGUUUGAUACUAACAGACACCCUUUGCAGUGGUACUGGGAUAUUUACUAGGGUGAAACCUGGAGGGUAAGCAAGGAUCUCACUAUCGUCCUCAGGGUUGACCAUAGGGCUAUUUCCUUUUUCUGGCCCUCCGAGCAGCAACUGAGUUAGCUAAUUUAUCAUGUCCUUCUGCGAUUUUUGCAUCUGAUCUUUCAUAUCCUGCUGAAUCUUGACCAGUUGCUCUUGCAUCUGUGCUUGCAGUUGCUCCUGCAUUUCUUUCUGCAUUUGUUCCAGUUUUUCCAGAUUUUGAUCCAUAGUUUUGGUCUUUUUCCGUGUGUAGUAUUGAUGUUCCAGGGUAACCUUUAUAAAAAAAAAGAUUUCUAAUUAAUUAGGGUUCCUUUGUGAAAUUUAAUGCACAUAAUGCAAUGUAAUGAAAAUGCAUGAGAUGAAUGCAAGACUAAAGAGGCGUUGAUUCUGAUUUAAUUUCAUUUAAAAAACUUAAUUAGAAAACUAAAUCCUUUACAUAAAACAGAUCAUAUAUACGACUUUGUCAUAAUGCCCAAAUUUUUAACUUUCUUAAGAAGGCAACCCAGCUCACGACCCCGGUCUGACUCUAACUCAUACUUCACACUUAGCACAUCAGCCUGAACUGCUAAGGUCUGUAAAUGAUCGGCCACUUCUCGAAUCUGAGCCACGGCUUUGCCCAUGAUAUGAUCUCUAUCCCUAACCUGGUCCUGCGAUCGACGGAACUGUUCCUUCCACUGCUCAUUAUUCGACUCAAGGAAUUCGAUUCGAAGUUCACAGUUCUGUAGUACAGACUCGAGUUCUUCUAACUUCCCUUUCAAAUCCUCGAUUCUAAUCAGGCUGGCUCUUAAUUCAAUGUCGAAGUCACGAACCCGACGCUAGUGUAGUGCCUUUUCUAACUCCGCUACCCGAGCUGCUAAUAUCUGCUUCUCAUCUUGGCCUUCAGUCAAACUCUUCUUCAAGGCAUUUUUACGUGUUCGAGCAUCAUGAAACCUCUUCUUCCACUGAUCAGCUCUAGUUUUUCUUCUUGAAUUUCUUGUCGCCACUGCUUCGAUGUCUUCCUCAAUCCGGCUAUUUUCAUCGACAUACGUAGCUUGUUGUAGUCAGCCUUCAAACUGUCCAAGUCCUCUUCGGCCUUCCUCUUCCCCUUCCUUAACUUCUCGGCCUCGAGCUUCUGAACAUUGGCAUCUAACCUCAAGUGCAUUUUUUUCUCCUCUAAUUGUUCUAUCUUUUUUCCUAACUCUAAAUUUCUCUUUUGGAAGUCCUGCUUUAUAAUCUCUAACUCGGAGGAGACUACUUCAAGGUAUUCUUCUAUCGGUCGAGUGUCUUCUUGCUUUGGUCGAGGGAUAUUAUCAUUAAUUCUUCUACCCCACCAACCAUCAUAUUCAAGAGUCGUCAUUGGACCUACAGCAACUCUCUUCAUCCGGCGAGUUUGGUUCCAAGCAUUAGAAAUCUCCUUAAUCUUUUUCUUGUAGUUAAAUCCCCCACACGUGAAUUCAAAUUGAGCUAGCCCAUGCAUUGCUGUAUGAACUGUCUCGAUCUAUAUUGCCCAGCUCGAGCAAAGGAGCAUACCAAUGGCUCUCCGAAUUUCGAGCAAAGAGACCCAGUCAAAGCUCCCACAUCGGAAAAGAAUUUCGUCAAGAACCAACCAAGGAGCUCUCCACUCGAUAUCCUCCUCCUGGAGAUUUUGAAGGAGCGAGAUCCAAUUUUCUUCUGAUAUGUCGUCUCUCCUAGACGUGGUUGCUACCUCCUUUAGCGGGGAGUAAUUCUCGGAGAAAACCCGAUAAGAAACUUUAUCUACCUUCCAAAAAUGGCUAUGAAACCAAACUAAUAAUAACUUCGCACACCUUAUAAAUCUGCCCUCGCCAGCUCUCCUGCAUGCGUUCAAAGAUCUAAAUGUCUCAACCAAGAUUGAAGAAACAGAUGUGACUCCUUUGUCAAGUCGGUCAAAGAGAUCCGAGACCGCCUCAUCUACAUACCCUAAUGCCCUAGGGAAAAUCAUUAAACCAUAGAUGCUUAAAGCAAAAACAUCAACUCUCUUCUUCGUAUCAGGAUGCACUAGAAUCAAAUCCCUCAAAUUCCUCCAUGGGAUGCACUUACAUUCCCCCUUUUGCUUGACCCUUGCAGUAAUCCCCUGCUCACUCAUCCUUGUAAUAUUCAUCAAUUUCUUCAAAAAGGUUGGGACAUAAGCGGCUCUCGAAUAGGCCUUAUCGACUUGGAUCUUCAGACAAUGAAGUAAAGCCGUAUAUUCUUCUAUGGUAGGUACCAAAUCUACCCUCCCAAAGGUAAAACAACUGUAGGCAGGAUUCCAAUACUGAGCGAGGGCCCGGAAUAAAUGCUCGUCUACCUUGACGUCAAGUAAGUAAGUCAAAUCCCCAUAAUUACCAUAGAACAACUGCUUGGUCUCUUCAUCCCACUGGUCCCAUAUCUGUUUUAAUUCCUGAAGAUCAUUUUUUGUCAUACUAAUGCGAGUGUAAUCACACAAUUCUAAUGUAUACCCCUCGGCUAGACUGUCCCCUUUCUCUAAUUACGUUUUCUCUGACCAUAUACGGACAGUCGCAUUAUCUUCCACUUUAUCAAGAAAUUCGUUCUCCAUAACAAGCUCCCUAAGUUAGUAAUCGAAUGUGAAUCGACACCUCUUUGAAAUGAAAGGACAUGCAAUCAUGGCCAAAAUAAAACACAACAAGUCAGUAUCAUAUACCAAAAAUAAAAGUCAAAGCAAAUGAGGGGGGAAAAAUCAAGCACCUAUCUGGGUGAUUGCUAAGGUUUGGCGUAGUCCUACUUAGGGUAAGCUUUUAGGGCUUUUUACAUGCGGUUUAGUUCUAAAGAAAAGGGUACCUGAACUAGUAAAUUCCUUAAUCCUCACCCAUUAUAGGCUCAUAUGGACCAAGUUCAGUUCAGGGGAAUACAUUUCCCUAUGGCUGCACGGAGGUGAAAACCUCACGAAAACAAAGGUACGGAUGUAUCCUGAAAGCGAUCCACUGUCCUGCACGGAGGUGAAAACCUCACGAAGGAAAUAGUUUCCCACUCCCACUUAAAAGGAGCGACCACAACGGUAUGCAAGAUGAUGCAAAGGGAUAUAAAAACUAAAAAUACAAAACAUGAAAAAAAAUGAUGAACCAUAAAACCAAUAAAAUGCAAUAAAAUGAUCGUAUGUUAAAAAGCAAAUUUUAAAUUUUCGACAAAAGGACAGAAAAUAAUCAAUUUUACGACUUGACUCUCUUAUUGGUCCCCAGUGGAGUCGCCAAGCUGUCGAAACCAGUUUUAAAUUUGAAAUACGAGAGUCGACUUAAAAACAAAAAAAUAGAGUCGCCACCGAUCUUUUUCGACGUAUGAUUGGAUCACCUUGAGUUUGAUCAUUUUGAUAAAACAUUUUGAUUUAUUAAAACAAUGAUUUUGAUCUACGAAAUUCGAGAAUAAAGGUUCGGGAGUCGGUUACUCACGAGGAAGGGUUAGCACCCUCGUAACGCUCAAAAUUGGUACCGAAUUGAUUAAUUAAUGUCUUAACGUCGAAUGUUUGAAAAGAUUUUAGAAUACAAUCCUUUUUUAUUUUUAAAAAAGAACAUUUGAAUAAAUUACAUGGAAUGCUAAGACCCUCUUAUCUCGAAGAAAUAAAAUGUCACACCCAGUAAGUUAGGAUACAACAUUUUAAACCCUCGAAAAUAAGUUUGUCUUUUAAUUUUCAAAAGUCAUGCCUUUAAGUUUAAAAAAAUAUAUUCGGUUAUUUGGGUCAAAUGAAAAAUCGAAACCCAGUAAGUUAGGGCACAGUCUCUCAAAAUUUCAAAUACAGAAUAUUUCAUUUAUUUUUUAGAAAUCCUUAUCUCGAGAUGCAAAGAGCCAUAUCCAGUGAGUUAGGAUACAACACUUCGAAUUCUUGAGAAUAAACUUUUAUUUGAAACUUAAUUGUUUUGAUUUAAAGAAGGCUACUCGAUUACUUAGAUUCGACGAGAAAAAUCAAAACCCAGUAAGUUAGGGCACAAUUUUCUCAAAGCUCCCAAGUACCGAAUAUUGCCUUAUUUAAAUUUUUUUGAAUAAAAUGUAAUAAAUAAAUGAAAUGUAUUUUUAUUUAAAAGGAUAAUUCGAUAACAUAAGGAAUAAACACGUGGCAAUAACAUUUCAUGAAUAAUCUAAAAUAAUAAGGAAAUGCAAAGGAACAACUUAGAAUACAUGCAAUGGCAGCAUAUCAUAUUCUAUAUAAAUACUACCAUUUAUAACCAAGGGCUAAUGAAUAAGAAACCAAUUUUAAAAGAAGUUCCAAAUAAGUUACACAAAUAAAAUGUAACAAGUUUUAAAAUAAAAUAAAAUGAAUAAUAGGAAAAAAGAAAAUUUGGAAAUAUCACUAUACAAACUAUACAAAAAUUUUAAAACAGGUAAUAGAUAUAAGAAUUUAAAAAUAAAUAGAAAAAUAAAAGAAAUAAUAUACUAAAUGGUAAUGUACAAUGAAUUUUAAAAUAAAUAUUAUAAGGUAAAUAAUUUAAAUGAAAGUUUGAACUGUAUCAAAAAAAAAAAGAUAAUAUGUGUAAUACGUAAAUGAAAUUUCAAAACAAAUAAUAUGAAUAAAAGGUUAAAAGUAAAUGACAAACAAAAUAAUAUAUAUACAUGAAAAAAAAACCUAAUAUAAAUAAUAUAUAUAAUAGUAAUAACAAUAUAUGAAAGUGUUUCAGAUAGACAAAUAUGUACAUGAAAAUAAAAUAAAUAAAUAAAGUGUGAAAUCAAAAUAAUUUAAAAUAAUAUGUUAAAAUAACAUGUUUAUUCUAAAAAAAAUGAAUAUCUAAAACUUAAUUGUGAGAAAAACAAAAUCCAAGGGAUAAUUUAUAAACAAAACAAAUCAUUAAAACAGAAUUUUGGGCCGAAAUUAAAUGAGCACAAAUGUUCGAGGACUAAAACUGAAAAUGCCCCAAAUCUCAAAGUACUGCGCUAAGGAGAGGGCCAAAUUGAAAUAACGCACAGAUUACAGGGACAAUUUAAAAGAAUUUAAAAAAAUUUAAACAGGGCUCGAUUGAAUGCUAGGGUGAAGGAGGGGGACUGAUUGCGGAAAUUACCCAUUUAAGGGGAAAAUGCGCGUGAAUUCAGUCAAACCGCGUACAGACUCUACCCCCCGGCAUGCUGUUUGUUUUAUUUUUUAAAAUUAAAACUUGUUUUAAAUCAUUUUUUUUGCUUUAAAAAAACAUUUUUUUGAUUUUUUUUAAAAAAAAAACCCUAAAGUUUUGAGAUCCCCUCACUCUCCCCUCUGCUCUUCGCCAAAAGGCCUAUACCCAAGCCUUCAACCGCCCCAAAAGUCGCUUGCGACCAACGAAGCAGGGCCCUCCGACGGUGUGAGCACGAUGCGCGGUGAGUACCUCUUUUUCUUUCCUAUCUUUAGUUCGUGUUGUGGAUUCGAAUGGGGAAGGAAAAAAAUGAAAAAAAAAGAAGAAACAAAAUAAAGCUGUAGUAAAUAAUCACCUUUGAAAAUAUUCUUUGGUUGCUUUCUACUGAUUUUUGUGUGUAUUUUGUAUACAAUCCGUAACCAAUUUCUCUGAAAAAAUAAGAAUAAAAAAAAAGGUCCCUUAUAAUGGAUUUUCAUGAGGCUUUUAUAGCCUUUUUACAACUGUUUUUCUACAUGUUUGCAGGUACGUGGGCGAGCAUCCCACUGAUGUGGCUCGGGUAGUGCGGCCUUGGAGGCCCCAGUGGCGUGGGACGCAGAGGUCGUUAGUGGAGCGGCGGCUGUUGCAAGUACUGGGGACUAGGGAUUUUUGUUGAAAAGUUUAGGUUUUGGGCCCCUUUGGGCUUUAGGGUUAUUUAGGGCUUGGAUUUAAGUUUUAUUUUGGGCUUUAGAUUUGAGUUAAAAAUAACUGGGCUUGUAAUUUGGUCGGUAAAAAAACUUUUAUUUCUGUUUAUUUGUUUGUGGGUCUUGGGCCCGGGCUAAAAUUAGGCCCUGCAGCAAGUUUUAAAUUUUCAUUAUAAUCUAUAAAAAAUUAUUAUAAAAUAAUAUUAUAAACUAAUAAAAUAUAAUUACCGAAAUAAUAAUUUUAAAUAAAUCAUAUUUAAUAUUUAAAAAUCUUAAUUCAGUGUUACUAUAUAUAAAUAUUAUUUAUAUUCAAUAUUUAUAUGGAUAUUAUUUUAAUAUAUUAUACAAAUAUUUAAGGAUUAUCUUGGUACUAUAAUUUAAAUUUUUUUGGUAACUAAUUUUAAAUAGUAUUUAUAAAUGUAUAUAUUUUUAUGCAAUAUUUGAUAUUAAGCAUAAACAUUUAAAAAAAAUACCUUUUUAGGUUUAAGAGUUAACAAAAUUCUUGAAAAUUUCCAAAAAAGAAAUUAAAUCCUUUCGCGAAAAACUUGUUUCUUAGGUAAAUAAAGGAACUAGCAUUAACAUGAAAGAUUGCAUAACAAUAUGCAUACAAGGAUGUCCAUAAGCCUCUUUCAACAAACAUAACUUGAUGGCCUCAGGAGCUCAUUACAACAGAUAUUAUCCGAGGAGCUACAAAGAUGAAAAUGGCUCCCUAGUUUGCCAAGGCAUCAACACUCUGGUUUCUUUCCCUAAAGGUAUACAUGAUUUUUGAAUUCGAGAUCAUAGUUAGGAGCGUCUUGCAACCAAGAAAAUUGUUAGAAAUUACAGUGCUAGUCAUGAAGCUAAUAACAAUAGAUGCAUCAACUUCUACUUCUAAAUAAGAUAUAUUAAGGUAAACUGCUCGUCCCUUAAUGUCCAAAAUUCGACUUCUAAACUAUUAGCUUCUAGGAUAUGAACCAUUUCCCUUCAUGAUCCCGAAUGAAAGUACCUGCACUCCUUUUAAACAUAUUUAAUUAAACCUUCACACUUAGUAAUUACAUCAAUUAAAUUUUUUGACUAAUUAUCUCAAUCUUUGAUCAUGUUGAUAAUUUUUUUUACAUAGCAAUCCAUGUAGAUGAUUAUGUUGACAUGACAUUAUUUUGUUCCAUGUAGAUGAUUAUGUUGACAUGACAUUAUUUUGUUAUAUGUUAUGUUAGUAAAUAAUUUAAAAUUAAAAAAUUAUAAUAAUAAUUUAAAAAAUUAAUUCUAAAAAUUAUAAUUAAUUUAAAAUUUAAAAUUUAAAAUAUUAAAGAUAAUAAAAAAUUGGAUUUGACAAAUGCUUUCUCUCAAAAUAUAUAUAUAUAACAAAAUUAUUUAAAAAUUAUGUGUAAUUUAAAUAAAAAAUUGAUUGUGGUGAGUGUCGACUAUGACAAAGUGAGGUUUGACCUUGGGUUGGAAGCUAUGUGUGUGGAAUUUAAGCGGAUGUUUUGGGUGAUGACAAAUGGUGUAGAAAAAUCAGGAGGAUUUUUAACUCUUUUAAGUAAUUUUCCAUAUUUCAUAUUCAGAAUUUCUGAAUAUAUUAAGUAAGAAUUUAUAUUUAUUAAACUAUCAAAACCCAAUUUUUUUUUUUAUUUCUUCUUACGGUCGUUACUAGUUUUUCUUACAGUUGACCAUCACUUUUGAGUGUAUUUGAACCUUUACCCACCAAAAAAAGUCAAUUUUUCUACCCUUGUUGUUGUCCAUGUUUGCCUUCUUUAAUUUUCUUUUCCAAAUGGAACAAAGUUUGUAUUAAUUAUUUGAGUAAACUAUGUCUAAGGUUAUUAAACUAUUAGUAAAUUUAUAUUUUUGUCACUCAAAAAAAUUAUAAGGUAGUCACUAAACUAUUUGAAAGUUUUCAUUUAAGUCACUGGGUUAUUAAGAUCGUUGUUGUAUGACUUUUUCUGUUCGCAUGCCUACAUCAAUCGAAAACUCUUAAUCCUAUUCUCUUCUACAAUUUAGUUUUUUUUUCAUGAAACAAAUUUGAACGUCAUGAAUCUAUAAAUCAAAAUCCAAGCAAUUUUAUUUUUCAAUCUUUGACACUGGCCGUCAAAUCAACUUAGAUCUAAGAUAUGUUCAUCUACUUUUCAAUAAGUAUUGAUCUAUUGUACCGAUUAUCGAAUCGCCAUUUGGAGCUCUCUAGUCAGAUUUAAAAAAAAAACUUAACAGCCUAAUGACUUGGAUAAAAACGUUCAAACAGUUCAAUGAUUUAUAUGAAAAUUUUUGAAUAGUUCAAUGACUAUUUUGUAACAUUUUGAAGUUAAGUGACCAAAAUAUAAACUUACUAAUAGUUUUUAGUGACCUUGGGUGUAGUUUACCCUAAUUGUUUUGCAAGCGAUGAAAAAAAUUGUGUUGUGGUUGUUAUUAGCUAAUAAUUUUUCUCUAUGUUGAAGGGGUUGAGUAUUUUGGGAAAAGUUUUCAAAGUGUCAUUCAAUGGGUAGUCAACCAAACUCCCAAUAAUUUCAAGUAUUGUCCCCUAAUGGAGGUUUUGUAUCUUGUGUUUUACCUCGAGCUAAUGUGUCAUGAGUGGCUACCUAAGGGAUUUGGCUCACAAAUCUGAGUGCCUUAGUUGGUGGACCUAUAAGGCCCACAAGAUAGAUAUUAACAUAGGGUGUGAUAUAAUUAUACAAAUAUAACCUCACUUGCCUUAGGUUGGUGGUUCAAGUUCUCCUAGCUCAGGUAACUUCAUAUGACACCUCUCCUUUGAGCUUUGUAGAUCCACAUGCUAAAGUGCUCUCGGCUUUGUGAACCAAACCCAUCGGACAUGUUCUCACAGCAUGCUGGUUCUUGGCGAAGUACAGGAGACAAAACCCCCCAUCAAGGGACAAAAACUUUACAUUGUUAAAGUCUAAUCGUUUACUCUACGAAUGACAUUUCGAAGACUUCUCCUGAAGUAAUUACUCCCUCAACAUUUUACUUGCUUUAAUAUGGAAAUCUCUUGUUUUUGUUUUGUUUUGUAUCUGAAUAAGUUUAGUCCUUUGACAUAAGCAUAUAUACUAACUUAUAUAAUAUUUAAAAGGAAAAUAUUUGGUACACUACCAGUGAAGUUUUUAAACUCCAUGAGCAGGGUCAAUGUUGACAAGUGUACUAUAGGAAUAUAGUAAAUUACUAUAUAUAUUUAAAAAAAGAGACACAUGUCAAUUUUUUAAGUUUGCUUCUAUUAGUGUACCAAAUACACCUCCGAAGUUAGGAAGUGAAUUAAAAGCCAUAAAUAAUAUAUAUAAAAGCACGAGUUCAAAAAAACUUUUGAAUUAACAAUAAUACCCUUUAUUUUUCAUCAUAUUAUUAAAUUCAUAUUUAAAAAAUAAUUAUAAUAUUUAAUUUAAAAUUAUUAGUUAAAUAUUUGAAAUAAAAUAAAAAUUAUACAUUUAAAAAUAAUUAUAAUUUAAUAGAAAUUAUGAUAGUUACACAUUUAAAAUUAAAAUAGAGUUUUUAAUUGCAUAGAGCUUAAGCAUAAAAUAUAAGAAAAAAUUUCUGAUAAUUAAAAUUAAAAUUUAUCAUUAUUAGUUAAAAAAUUUUGGAUUAAAACAAAAAUUUUCCUAAUUUAAUUUAUGCAAAAUAGAGUUAUUGAAUAGAAUUCUAAGAAUAUUAAUUAUCACUUAAUUAAUAUUAGAGUUAAUGAUAUUAAUUAGUUAUUAUUUUGAGUAAUGUUACUUUGCAUUACUUAAAUAAAAUACAAUUGUAUUGUAUAUUGAAUAGGUUAAAAAUGUUUUAAUUAAUAUUAUUUGAAAAUUUUUUAUUAUAAUAUUUAAAUUGUUAAGUUAAUAUAUGUUAAUUAAAAUCAAUAAUUUAAAUAAAAAAUAUUAUUUUAUACUAAUUAUUGCCAUUAAAAAAAUAAUAUUAAAAAAAUAAUUAAAUUAUGUGACAUUAGAAGCUCGUUGCAAAUAUAUAUUAAUAUAAUUUUUUUAAAAUAUUGAUACAAAAAUAUUAGUGAAUAUAGUAAAAAAGAUAUAUAGCAAGAAGAAUAUGUUCGAUAGGAUUAUCUAAUUUUUUAAUUAACCUCCUCAAAAUUAAAUGAUAAAAUCCAGAACUGAACCAUUCCCCCAACCACAUGGCGUAAAUUGGAAAGCAGAAAAAUGGCCUAUUACUUUUAAUUACGUAUUCCACUUGAAGAUAUCAUGUAGCUCUGAGAGAUGGCUAAUUGUAGAAAUGUUGAUCAAGUAAUGAACCAACACCUUCCGCCUGUCUCCCAUAUCCUGGAUAGCUACUGUUUAUAUUUGGAUUCAUCCAUAUAUUAUAAACAAACAAAGCAUGAACUGGUACAUGCAAGAGUAAAGAAGGUAACAAUUGUCAGCAUCCAAUGGGUUAAAAGAAGGCAGGUUCAAGAAGGGACAUAAUCCAAGGGACCAUAAGGUUCAAAGAAUUCAGCAAGCAGUCCCUUUUUCCGCCUAGGGUUCCACCCCAUAUCUUUGCACAGUUGAUCAUUGUACCAGACAUGGAGUGCACCGAUGCACUUUCUUCGAUAGUAUCCACCCGAGUAUUGUUUCAAGUAUUCAUCCCAUUUUCUCACAUCCUUUUCCAUCUCUUCUAUGCUUGGUAGCUUGAAUGUGCCGUCAAGAAGUUCAGCUAGCCAUCGGCAUCUUAUCUCUGAGGUAUACAAAUUUGCAAUACUUUCAGAGUAUCCUAUUACAGCUAGUUGAGGUAUCCUUGGCUGAAUGCAUUCCCUGUUCCGAAAACAUGACAAUACUUUUAUGAAAAUCUUGAACCGACAAAACAACAUCAUCAUCAUUAGUUUUCAAGUUGACCUGUAGAGUGGGGUUGCAGCAUCAGGGGAUCCAACUAUGAAGUUUUGAAAGGUUUGGGACACGAACAUGUCUUUGAGCUUUUUUUCUCCCUUGAAUCCAGUGGCCAAAAUCACCACCUCUGCCUCUAUAGGUGCUGUCUCAUCUUCCACCAUAACGCCAUUGUCACAGAAACUAAAACUUGGGGCCUUUUUCAAUUUAAUUUCUCCAUCUUCAACUUUGUCAUAGAAUUUUUCUGGGACUGUUGAGGUCAAGCAAGAACUGAUUUCAUGGAGGAAGCUAUGUGUUGGGACCAUGCCAUGCUUUGCCAAAUGAAGCUUCCUUUUUAUAUCACUUUCAACAAAUUUCGAAUAUGCCCAUCUCUGUCAAAUAAUCACACCAGAGAAAAAAAA